UACGGAGGGUGCGAGCGUUGUCCGGAAUCACUGGGCGUAAAGGGCGCGUAGGCGGCCUGAUAAGUAGGGGGUGAAAUCUUGCGGCUUAACCGCAAGGCUGCCUUCUAAACUGUCAGGCUAGAGCACAGUAGAGGCAGGUGGAAUUCCCGGUGUAGCGGUGGAAUGCGUAGAGAUCGGGAAGAACACCGGUGGCGAAGGCGGGUCUCUGGGCAGUAACUGACGCUGAGGAGCGAAAGCGUGGGGAGCGAACAGG
rnacentral:rRNA from 1 species